UUAAAGUAGGGAAAUGGGAAUACAAGAAAAUUGCUCCUGAGAGGAUGCAACUGAUGAGGACCUUUCUGCUGUUGUGGCUAUAAAACAGACUAUACUAAAGCUCAGAAGUAAAAGAGUAAUAGGACAGAUACGUCCAACACAAAGGGAUACAGCAAUACAUGCAUCUGAUUUAUGGAUUACUCUCAGCAUUGUUUUGCCCACAAACUCAGGCACGUCAACUUUGUACUUAAGGAGGAGGUAGAGUGAGAACAACAGAGGGAAAGAGAGAGAGAGACAGAGAACUAGCAGCAGGAUGGAUGGAUCACUUCAGCUUGCUCUCCACUUCCCAUCACCUGCAUCCAACAUCCUAUGUGUGCAUCCUCUCCAGUAUACUGCUCAGUCAAUCAAGUUAACACAGAGUGUCAUCAGUAUGUACAGCAUGUAAGGACUACAGUAUUGAUGCACUCACUCAGCCGUGAGUAGUGCUGCACAAAAUCACUGAACAUGGCAGGAAUCAUUUAUUUUUGUGAAGGGAAUCAGUCCUAAUCUUGGAAACCUUGCAGCACUUGGCUUCUGUCUGCUUGACUUUGGGUAUUAACCUUCAGAACACAAACAUGAUGGUGUUCUGGCAAAUCUGGGGAAAAAUGAUACAAAAAUAAAUCUCUACAAAUGGGAAUGCUUUGUGUUUCAUAAACAGAUUGAAUACAGGGCUGAUAAUGUAAUACAAAAUAUUUAAAGCUUAGAAAUAGCAAAUACCUGGCAGACUGCUCUAUAUGGAAAAUGAUACCUGAUUCAAAAAUCUUAAAAUAUACAAAUAUGAAUACUUGCCAAUUAAUAAAUUUGCAAGCAUUAAAACUCUGGAACAAAUCAGAAUGGGUUGGGCUUAACACUGAUCUCUCAUAUCAUCCUGUCUCUUUUUCUCUAAUCUUACUGUGCACUCUCUUUUUAUAGCUAUGAUUUGUGUUAUGGUCUUCGGGGGGAUUUAUUAAAGUGGUACUAUACCAAUAAGAAACAUAUUUGAUAUGAAUUAUCCUUGUAGUUUUAUGAGCAUGAAUGACUGAUGACUUAUAA